GACACUGCCCAGCCACCGCCGCGCCCGCCGCGCCCGCCGCUCCGGAAGACGAGCUCCGGUUCUGCCGGAAGGGGUGGGGCUGGGUGAGGUCAGGCUACAGCAGUGGGAGAGGCGUGAGGUCAGCCUGGGGCAGUUGGUGGCCUUCCUGCGCAGGUCAGGGCAGAGCCGCCGGCCUGAGAAUGAGGGCGCUGCUGAGCCCAGGGGUUGACAGCGCUGGUUCCUGCUGUGGUCCCGGAGCUCCACCUGAAACCUGAGGGAAGCCGUCUGCCCGUAAAGCAUAUCCCCCCUGCUAGGAACUGAUCGAGGCCAGCAGACUCUCCAAUAUGUGUGUUUCACGCUUGCAGCACAUCGCAUUGUAGAGCCAGCCGCAUUUCAGGUACUUCAUGGGUGCAGGUGACUAUGUCCCAGGGAGCCCAGUUCCAUGACAGAUGUGUCUUUAUCGUCUCCCACUGCGAUUAUGAACGUGGCUGUUAGUCCUUUUCUCUUUCUGUCAGUAUUUAUGUAUUGAUAUUUUGAGGUUAUAUUAUUCAAUUCAGUUCAGUUACUCAGUCGUCUCUGACUCUUUGCGACCCCAUGAAUCACAGCACUCCAGGCC